rnacentral:rRNA from 1 species
AGCGAACGCUAGCGGCGGGCCUAACACAUGCAAGUCGAGCGCGUAGCUUCGGCUACGAGCGGCGGACGGGUGAGUAACACGUAGGUAAUCUGCCUUUUGGUGGGGAAUAACCCAAGGAAACUCGGGCUAAUACCGCAUACGGUCUCCGGAUCAAAGCCUUCGGGCGCCAGAAGAUGAGCCUGCGUCGCAUUACCUAGUUGGUGGGGUAAAUGGCCUACCAAGGGGACGAUGCGUAGCUGGUCUGAGAGGAUGAUCAGCCACACUGGGACUGAGACACGGCCCAGACUCCUACGGGUGGCUG